rnacentral:lncRNA from 1 species
CUUGGUACUCGCGCAGCAUCCGUGCCAGCUCCUCCUUGGCCUGCUGCAGGGCGCCCUCCAGCUCAUCCAGCUUGGCCCUGGCAUCCUUGAGGGCACAGUCCCCCCGCUGCUCGGCGUCAGCGAUGGCCGUCUCCAGGUUGGCACACUGGGGUCAGGAGGUAGCAUUUCUCCCUGAGUUCCUCCCUGGGCCUCGCUUCACCUCUCCCAUGCUCUCAAUGGUUGAGCCCUCCUCUGUCCUGCCCCAUGUCCUGGAGCAGAGACCCAGCCACAUCCAGGUGGAGUCCUGUCAACCUGAGACUGAGAGGCUUGCUACGCUGGGCCCCACAGCUUUAUGAAAAUAAUCUGCAAUUGUUCCAAACUUCAGAUGGGAGCUAAGGGUGAGGGAUGAGAGCAGGACCUCCAUUUGAAGAAGGGGAUUCUGAAAUGGAUGCUCAAGAGAAGGAGGGGGCAGGGGGUGCUAAGCAGUUCACCCCUCCCUUAGGAGUGAGUAAGGAAGGCUCCAGUCCCCUUCACCUGCUUCUUCACACUCUCAAUCUCCGAGCGCAGUCUUUGGAUGAGACGGGUCAGCUCUGAGAUCUCAUUUUUGGUGUGUUUCAGGUCAUCCCCAUGCCGGCCGGCUGCUAGCUGCAGCUCCUGGAACUAGAGGAAAAGGAACCAAAGCAAGAACACUGACUCAGGGCUUGGCUGGGAUCAGCCUGGUACAGAGACUGUGCCUGCACUUGCAGAGCCUGGCAGAGAGUCACCUUCUGAUUUUCUGCCUAAAUGCAGUGGAAUUUGAAGUCAGUCACCUAGAUUCUGAUCCAGCUGCGUCACUUGUCAGCUAUUGCCUUUGUGCCCAGGAGAGUGCUGUGCUCCCAGCAAGCUAUGGGCCACCACAGUGAGUCAUGGGGCAGACAAGACAGAGUCUGGAGCAGAGGGCCCUGCAUACUUCACUAUGGGGAGUUUUGCGGCCUCACCUUGGUCUGGUACAGGGCCUCGGCCUCGGCCUUGCUCUUCCGGGCGAUCUCCUCAUACUGGGCACGGACCUCAGCAAUGAUGCUGUCCAGGUCCAGGUUCCGGUUGUUGUCCAUGGACAGGAUGAUGGACGUGUCGCUGAUGUGGGACUGGAUCUGAGCAGUCUCCUGCAGGGGAAACAAGGAAGCAUGAAAUGCCUUCUGUGACCAGAGAAAGGUCCCAAGGUGAUGGCCCUGUCCCAGAGGGAUGGCCCUAGACCAUCCCACACAGAUGGAAGCUGCACUUCCCAAAGCUUGUAAGAACAGAGCUCACAGCCCAGAGGUUCCAAUACCACAUCUGAAAACUGCUGAAUGGGUUUGAAGCAGCCCAGGAAGAAA